CCUACGGGAGGCAGCAGUAAGGAAUAUUGGUCAAUGGACGAAAGUCUGAACCAGCCAUGCCGCGUGGAGGAUGAAGGUCCUCUGGAUUGUAAACUUCUUUUAUAUGGGACGAAAAAAGGCUUUUCUAAGUCGUCUGACGGUACCAUAUGAAUAAGCACCGGCUAACUCCGUGCCAGCAGCCGCGGUAAUACGGAGGGUGCAAGCGUUAUCCGGAUUCACUGGGUUUAAACGGGAGCGUAGGUGGGUUGGUAAGUCAGUGGUGAAAUCCCCGAGCUUAACUUGGGAACUGCCAUUGAUACUAUCACUCUUGAAUACCGUGGAGGUCAGCGGAAUAUGUCAUGUAGCGGUGAAAUGCUUAGAUAUGACAUAGAACACCAAUUGCGAAGGCAGCUGGCUACACGAAUAUUGACACUGAGGCUCGAAAGCGUGGGGAUCAAACAGGAUUAGAUACCCUGGUAGUCCACGCCCUAAACCUAUGGAUACUCGACAUACGCGAUACACUGUGUGUGUCUGAGCGAAGCAUUAGUAUCCACCUGGAGUACGAUCGCAAGNUGAACNAAGAUGAGNGNGAGAGNGCGAGNGACGNGAGGGAGAGG
rnacentral:rRNA from 1 species